GCCGAAGUAGCUCAGUUGCGAGAGCAUUAGACUAUGGAUCGGAAAGUCUCUGGUUCGAUCCUUGUUUUCGUCA
rnacentral:tRNA from 1 species